rnacentral:rRNA from 1 species
AGAUUGAACGCUAGCGGGAUGCUUUACACAUGCAAGUCGAACGGCAGCGCGGACUUCGGUCUGGCGGCGAGUGGCGAACGGGUGAGUAAUAUAUCGGAACGUGCCCAGUAGCGGGGGAUAACUACGCGAAAGCGUGGCUAAUACCGCAUACGCCCGUACGGGGGAAAGGGGGGGAUUCGUCGGAACCUCUCACUAUUGGAGCGGCCGAUAUCAGAUUAGCUAGUUGGUGAGGUAAAGGCUCACGAAGGCGACGAUCUGUAACUGGUUUGAGAGGACACCAGCCACGACGUGGGACUGAGACACGGCCCAGACCU